GUGCCAGCCGCCGCGGUAAUACGUAGGGGGCCAGCGUUGCUCGGAAUUACUGGGCGUAAAGGGUUCGUAGGCGGUGCGGCAAGUCGGGAGUGAAAUCUCUGGGCUCAACUCAGAGGCUGCUUCCGAAACUGCCGUGCUUGAGUGCGGGAGAGGCGAGUGGAAUUACAGGUGUAGCGGUGAAAUGCGUAGAUAUCUGUAGGAACACCCGUGGCGAAGGCGGCUCGCUGGACCGCAACUGACGCUGAGGAACGAAAGCUAGGGGAGCAAACAGGAUUAGAUACCCUGGUAGUCC
rnacentral:rRNA from 1 species